rnacentral:rRNA from 1 species
AUUGAACGCUGGCGGCAUGCCUUACGCAUGCAAGCCGAACGGUAACAGGUCUUCGGAUGCUGACGAGUGGCGAACGGGUGAGUAAUACAUCGGAACGUGCCUAGUAGUGGGGGAUAACUACUCGAAAGAGUGGCUAAUACCGCAUGAGAUCUACGGAUGAAAGCAGGGGAUCGCAAGACCUUGUGCUACUAGAGCGGCCGAUGGCAGAUUAGGUAGUUGGUGGGAUAAAAGCUUACCAAGCCGACGAUCUGUAGCUGGUCUGAGAGGACGAUCAGCCACACUGGGACUGAGACACGGCCCAGACUCCUACGGGAGGCAGCAGUGGGGAAUUUUGGACAAUGGGCGCAAGCCUGAUCCAGCAAUGCCGCGUGCAGGAUGAAGGCCUUCGGGUUGUAAACUGCUUUUGUACGGAACGAAAAGCCCUGGGUUAAUACCCUGGGGUCAUGACGGUACCGUAAGAAUAAGCACCGGCUAACUACGUGCCAGCAGCCGCGGUAACAC